rnacentral:rRNA from 1 species
AGGGACUUCUCCAAAUACCAUUUCUGACCUUCAUUUAGGUCGAGUUCAAAUUUUAGGCUACUGCUGCUUUACUCGCCGGUUUUGUUGUGCAUCACAAGGAGGGGCUCUUUUCCUCCGCUUAUUCCUACUCCCUGUAUAUCAAUAAGCGGAGGAAAAGAAACCAACAGGGAUUGCUCUAGUAACGGCGAGUGAAGCAGCAAUAGCUCAAAUUUGAAAUCUACCUAUUGAGGUCGAGAUGUAAUUUGUAGAGGUCGCUUAAGGUAUAGCCCCUCCUAAGUCCCUUGGAAUAGGGCGCCAAAGAGGGUGAGAGCCCCGUAUAGGAGGAAGCUAAGCCCGCCUAAAGCCCCUUCGACGAGUCGAGUAGUUUGGGAAUGCUGCUCUAAAUUGGAGGUAAAUUCCUUCUAAAGCUCAAUAUUUGCUAGAGACCGAUAGCGCACAAGUAGAGUGAUCGAAAGAUGAAAAGUACUUUGAAAAGAGAGUUAAAAAGCACGUGAAAUUGUUAAAGGGGAAGCGCCCGUAACUAGAACCGCACUAGGCUAAUUUCCUACCGUUCUCGGUAGUAUACUUAGCCUAGCCUAGGCCAGCGUUAGUUUAUAUAGGGAGAAAAAAGCCAUAGGAAAGUAGCUCCUACGGGAAGGUGUUAUAGCCUAGGGCACAAUACCAACUAUAAAGAACUAAGGAGUGCGUUUCUACAAGGACGUUGUGAUAAUAGUUAUUAUCGACCCGUCGUCUUGACAUUGAGAACAUUGCCAGAGGACUGAAGCCUCACGAAGAGAUUCGUAUUAUCUGUAAUAUGAACAAAGCAAAUGUACUUUGUUACGCUGUCGUUAGAACUUCUUCUCAUAGCCUUGUCUACUCUAAAAUAAGAUGCGG